rnacentral:rRNA from 1 species
ACAAGCAGCGGAGCAUGUGGUUUAAUUCGAAGCAACGCGAAGAACCUUACCAAGGCUUGACAUCCCUUGACCGCUAUGGAAACAUAGCUUCCCUUCGGGCAAGGAGACAGGUGGUGCAUGGUUGUCGUCAGCUCGUGUCGUGAGAUGUUGGGUUAAGUCCCGCAACGAGCGCAACCCUUGUCAUUAGUUGCCAGCACGUAAAGGUGGGAACUCUAAUGAGACUGCCGGGGAUAACUCGGAGGAAGGUGGGGACGACGUCAAAUCAUCAUGCCCCUUAUGUCUUGGGCUACACACGUGCUACAAUGGCCGGUACAAAGGGCUGCGGAACCGUAAGGUGAAGCGAAUCCCAUAAAGCCGGUCUCAGUUCGGAUCGUGGGCUGCAACCCGCCCACGUGAGGCCGGAGUUGCUAGUAAUCGCGAAUCAGCAUGUCGCGGUGAAUGCGUUCCCGGGUCUU